CAAGGACUCUGUGGAAGGGUUCAAGCCGGCAGGUGGUGGGUUUAGCAGCCAUCGCCAGCUUUGACAGAGUGUCAGAUGAGACCGUCUUGAAUCGUGAGAGUACAAAUUCAGCCUUUGGGAACACCAGAACUUUUUCCCAGUAUGCGGGUGUGUGAAGAACCCCACACAGAGGAUGACGACACGACCCGGGACGACACCCAAGGUUGGACUACCGCGGGACUCGAACCCAGGAUCUUCUUGCUGUGAGGCGACCGCGCUAACCACUGCACCACCAUGCUGCCUGUUAAACCAUACAUAUACAUAUGAUACAUAAACAUCAAUGCUUAUGUUAAGCUUUUAAAACGUACUUUUUUUUUGCAAAAUCACGUAUAACUGUGAUGGGCUUUUGUGCAUCCAUAGAAGGACAGGAGCAAAACGUUACUAAUAUGACGCAGAAUUGAAAUUAGGCUGAAUGUGUGCAAGGUUGCAAUGAAAAAGCUACUAAAUGUCAAAUGCAUGUUGGUAUAUAGUAUGUUCGCACUAUGUUCUUCAUUCGUAUCAUGUGUGA